rnacentral:tRNA from 1 species
GGCGCUGUGGCUCAAACGGUAGAGCGCUCGCCUUGAGCUGACGAGCGAGCGCAGGGACAGCGCCC